UACGUAGGGUGCAAGCGUUAAUCGGAAUUACUGGGCGUAAAGCGUGCGCAGGCGGUUUUGUAAGUCUGACGUGAAAUCCCCGGGCUCAACCUGGGAAUUGCGUUGGAGACUGCAAGGCUAGAAUCUGGCAGAGGGGGGGUAGAAUUCCACGUGUAGCAGUGAAAAUGCGUAGAGAUGUGGAGGAACACCGAUGGCGAAGGCAGCCCCC
rnacentral:rRNA from 1 species